GUCAUGAUGUAGAGACACGGAUUCUCUUUGUUCCAGGAGAGCUGGAAUGAGGCACCCUGGCUCCAGCAGCUUUGGAAGAGUUGGGUAUAAAGGAGGCUUCAUGGGUAUAAAGGAGGCUUCAUUCACAGGUGACCAGACCAGGAACGUGGAAGAUCUGGCAACCCGGAUGAGGACUGGUUGGCCCUGAAUGACAAUUUGUCCCUUUGGCAGGGGCACCCCUACUCUAUUGUCUUAUAGCUGCUGCUACCCUCUCUCAACCCCCAUAUCCUCAUUUGAAAAGAGGAAUUACAGUGUUACUUACCUGACCGUGAGUUUGCAACACUUGCCAUGAGGAUUUUAGAAAGUUGGAAGAUGAUUCUAACAAAGGUUGAGAGGAGGACCACCACUUGGUUGAUUAUAUGUGUUUCUUUGGAUGGUUCUUCUAUGAUUCGUAUUGGUGGUUCUGCUGCCAGAAAGACUUCCAGAGGGUGAUUGGCCCAUAGCUGAGUGCCUCUCUAGCUCUACUUACCUUCUUCUAGAUGACUGGUACCCACGGGUCAACUGUGGUCUGAAAGUGGAUGAUCCUCCUUCUAAAAUAUCGUCAGGUCACUCGUAGCCUAACAAUGCCUAUGUCACAAUGCCUAUGUCAUUCAUCUCAGUUCAUCUCAUCACAUAGAUAUUUUAUCAUCUUAUAUCAUCACAAGAGGGAAAAGAAGGGUGAGUAGUAUGGUGCUCCUUUUCGUGAUACAAAAAUGGAUUUUUGUGUAAUUCAUUCCAGUUAGAAGGUCCAGGAAUGGAUUUGGAAGACGAAAAUGACAAGAUAUGUUAAGGGAGAGAGAGAGAUCACAUGCAUAUAAUCUUUUAUUGCAGUAUAUUGUUAUAAUUCUAUUUUAUUGUUAGUUGUGAAUCUCUUACUGUGCCUAAUUUAUAAAUUAAACUUUAUCGUAGGUGUGUAUGUAGAAAAAUCAUAGCAUAUACAGAGUUUGGUACUAUCUGUGCUUCCAGUCAUUCCCUGGAGGUCUUGGAACAUGUCCCCUGAAGAUAAGGGUGGGGGAGGCCACUAUAGAUGCCAUUGGAACUUAACCUUCUACUUCACCUGGAGGCAUCACAGCCUUGUUUUCUGUCCCAGGAUCUGUGUGUAACUGGAAUGGGAGAACCUUUUACCUUUGCUGCAUGAUUUAAACUCCCCUGACCUUAGUUCUUACUUGUAAAAUAAGAUAAUAAUAAUAGUAUCCAUCUCUAGGAAUUGUGUGAUUAACUGAGUUAAUACCUUAAAAAAAAAGAGCACUUAGAGCACAGAGUGAGCACUCCAUACAUGUUAAGUUUGAGGAUGACAGUAGCAGUAAUGACCAUGAAUAUUGGAUGUCCCAGAUAGAGGCAGCCUCAGAUGGUUACAUAAUAUCCCUAUCUUCCGGCAAAGUUCCAAUGAAUUCCCACUUUACACCUUUUUGGCUUUGCUGAGAGCAUGGUAAAGACUAUGAGGGCUAUUGUUCUAUCUACUUCUGGAAAGACUAUGAGGGCUAUUGUUCUAUCUACAUCUUCUGCUGCUGGAAAAAUAACCAGGCCUGUGUGUUUAUACAAUAAUAGGCCAAAAUGGAAAAGUUGACCUUGAGAAUUUCAUUAAUCUCUUCAACUACAUUGGAGAAAGCAGGGAAGUGACUUCUCACAUGGGUCCCCAAGAUUUGAAAGAGUGAAUGCUGUCUUCUAACUCUUGGCCUUGCCUCUAAUCAGCUGUGUAAUCUUGGGCUAGUUGCUUAACCUCUCUGAAUUGUGGUGUCCUCAUUUGUAAAAUGGGAAGAAUAUAGCAUCGUUGGAAUUACUGAUUCAGAGGUUAUCUGUAGAAUUGAUAGCAAAUUAAGUUCUUAGAACCUGAUGAGGACUCAAUAAAAGCCUAUUAUCAUGCCUAUUAUUAUGUUUAUUAUAAAUGCUUAUAAUUAUAAGCUACCUUUAUAGUUUACAACUUACUAUAAUGCAGGGAACAGGUUACUUUCGAAGCAGAGCUUGUCCUGUGAUGAUCUUCUUCCUCUCCUUAAGAGAUGUUAACAUUCAUAGGAAUUCCCUCACUUUGGCUGAGCCUGACCCUCGGAGCUCACUGGUUGUCUAUGUGAAGAUGAGGGUUGUCCAUGGAAAGAUUUCCAUGUGAAGGUGUCCUGGUUGCACAAGGGCUAGAUCCAAGCAUUCUUGGACCCAUACACCUCAGCCUCUGCAUGUGUCUACAGCCCCAGGGAAUGGCUCAGGAUCAUCCUAUUGGAUGAUCAGGACUUUUGAGGCUUUCUGAGGUUUCUAGACUCAGACCCUCCUCACCACUGGCUCUUUCGUUGGGCAAAUUCCUACGAGUAAAAUGGCAGGAUUAUAUGGUAAGUGUAUGUUGAACGUUUUAAGAAAUUGCUGACUGUUUUCCAACGUGGUUGUACCUUUUUACAGCUCUGAUUGUAUAAUCUCCCCAGUCACACAUUGUCCAUGUUUCCCCUUACAGCAAAGUCGGUGCAUUUCCAACUAUAAUAUAUAUGUCUAAAAAAUUUUUUAAAGAAGUAGAACCUUGAAAAUAAAAAAGGCCACACCUAGACCCCCAGUAAGAAACAGGGACAUAGAUGCUUGGGUUAAGGGUUGGGGAGGUGCGUGGAGCUCAAGCUCUGAGGCACAAAUGCCCACCAUGGGCCAAGGGCAACACAGAGGGCACCUUCCUUCUAGGUUGCAAGCACGAGUGAGGUUCAGUUGGAUUUAGCUUCCCAUUGAAUGCUGGGCCUGCCAGAAAAGCCUGAUGUGGUCUGGGCUUGGGCUGCCCCCAUCUGUGCCAGCCGUGCUGGGAACCUUCCGUGAGGUCCUCCCAGCCCAUGGCAGACGGUGAGCCGCUCACAGGCCUACCGGACCCGCAGCCUCGCUCCAGGGCUGGUGCUUCUUGCUGGAUGGAAAUGGUUUGCAGGCUCUGAAGGCUACUUUUCCACCAGCACAGCGUGUCAGCCAAUCGUACUCCAUCUGCAGUACGAAUAUCAGAAGCUGUGGGACUCCAGAUGCGGGCAACAAAGAAACAAAUUGGGAACAUUGUGCACAAAAAAGAUUUUAAUAAAGAUUGAGCUGGCUCCGA